AUUGAACGCUGGCGGUAUGCUUAACACAUGCAAGUCGAACGGUAGCAGGCCUUCGGGCGCUGACGAGUGGCGGACGGGUGAGUAAUGCAUAGGAAUCUGCCAUUAGUGGGGGACAACCCGGCGAAAGCCGGGCUAAUACCGCAUACGAUCUACGGAUGAAAGCAGGGGACCGCAAGGCCUUGCGCUAUCAGAUUAGCCUGCGUCGGAUUAGCUAGUUGGUGAGGUAAAGGCUCACCAAGGCAACGAUCCGUAGCUGGUUUGAGAGAACGACCAGCCACACUGGGACUGAGACACGGCCCAGACUCCUACGGGUGGCAG
rnacentral:rRNA from 1 species